rnacentral:rRNA from 1 species
GACGAACGCUGGCGGCGUGCCUAAUACAUGCAAGUAGAACGCUGAAGGAGGAGCUUGCUCUUCUGGAUGAGUUGCGAACGGGUGAGUAACGCGUAGGUAACCUGCCUGGUAGCGGGGGAUAACUAUUGGAAACGAUAGCUAAUACCGCAUAACAGUAGAUGUUGCAUGACAUUUGCUUAAAAGGUGCAAUUGCACCACUACCAGAUGGACCUGCGUUGUAUUAGCUAGUUGGUGGGGUAACGGCUCACCAAGGCGACGAUACAUAGCCGACCUGAGAGGGGGAUCGGCCACACUGGGACUGAGACACGGCCCAGACGCCUACGGGAGGCAGCAGUAGGGAAUCUUCGGCAAUGGACGGAAGGCUGACCGAGCAACGCCGCGGGAGUGAAGAAGGGUGUCGGAUCGUAAAGCUCUGUUGUAAGAGAAGAACGAGUGUGAGAGUGGAAAGUUCACACUGUGACGGUAUCUUACCAGAAAGGGACGGCUAACUACGUG